UUCCGGUUGAUCCCGCCGGACCUGACUGCUAUCGGAUUGAUACUAAGCCAUGCGAGUCAUUGUAGUAAUACAAGGCAGACGGCUCAGUAACGCGUAGUCAACCUAACCUAUGGACGGGAAUAACCUCGGGAAACUGAGAAUAAUGCCCGAUAGAACACUAUGCCUGGAAUGGUUUGUGUUCCAAAUGAUUUAUCGCCGUAGGAUGGGACUGCGGCCUAUCAGUUUGUUGGUGAGGUAAUGGCCCACCAAGACUAUUACAGGUACGGGCUCUGAGAGGAGUGGCCCGGAGAUGGGUACUGAGACACGGACCCAGGCCCUAUGGGGCGCAGCAGGCGAGAAAACUUUGCAAUGUGCGAAAGCACGACAAGGUUAAUCCGAGUGGUUUCUGCUAAAGGAACCUUUUGUCGGUCCUAGAAGCACCGAUGAAUAAGGGGUGGGCAAGUUCUGGUGUCAGCACGCCGCAGGUAAAACCAGCACCUACAAGUGGUCAGGAUGAUUAUUGGGCCUAAAAGCAUCCCGUUAGACCUG
rnacentral:rRNA from 1 species